GACGAACGCUGGCGGCGUGCCUAAUACAUGCAAGUAGAACGCUGAAGCGAGGAGCUUGCUCUUCUUGGAUGAGUUGCGAACGGGUGAGUAACGCGUAGGUAACCUGCCUUGUAGCGGGGGAUAACUAUUGGAAACGAUAGCUAAUACCGCAUAACAAUGGAUGACACAUGUCAUUUAUUUGAAAGGGGCAAUUGCUCCACUACAAGAUGGACCUGCGUUGUAUUAGCUAGUAGGUGUGGUAAUGGCUCACCUAGGCGACGAUACAUAGCCGACCUGAGAGGGUGAUCGGCCACACUGGGACUGAGACACGGCCCAGACUCCUACGGGAGGCAGCAGUAGGGAAUCUUCGGCAAUGGGGGCAACCCUGACCGAGCAACGCCGCGUGAGUGAAGAAGGUUUUCGGAUCGUAAAGCUCUGUUGUAAGUCAAGAACGGGUGUGAGAGUGGAAAGUUCACACUGUGACGGUAGCUUACCAGAAAGGGACGGCUAACUACGUG
rnacentral:rRNA from 1 species